rnacentral:rRNA from 1 species
CUCCUACGGGAGGCAGCAGUAGGGAAUCUUCCGCAAUGGACGAAAGUCUGACGGAGCAACGCCGCGUGAGUGAUGAAGGCUUUCGGGUCGUAAAACUCUGUUGUUAGGGAAGAACAAGUGCUAGUUGAAUAAGCUGGCACCUUGACGGUACCUAACCAGAAAGCCACGGCUAACUACGUGCCAGCAGCCGCGGUAAUACGUAGGUGGCAAGCGUUAUCCGGAAUUAUUGGGCGUAAAGCGCGCGCAGGUGGUUUCUUAAGUCUGAUGUGAAAGCCCACGGCUCAACCGUGGAGGGUCAUUGGAAACUGGGAGACUUGAGUGCAGAAGAGGAAAGUGGAAUU